rnacentral:tRNA from 1 species
AGCGGAGUAGGAUAGCCCGGAGAUUCCGCUGGGCUCAUGACCCGGAGAUCGGUGAUUCAAAUUCACCCUCCGCUA